rnacentral:rRNA from 1 species
CCCGCACAAGCGGAGGAACAUGUGGUUUAAUUCGAUGAUACGCGAGGAACCUUACCCGGGCUUGAAAUGCAUCUGACCGGCCUUGAAAGAGGCACUCCCUUCGGGGCAGAUGUGUAGGUGCUGCAUGGUUGUCGUCAGCUCGUGCCGUGAGGUGUCGGCUUAAGUGCCAUAACGAGCGCAACCCUCAUCAUUAGUUACCAUCAGGUAAGGCUGGGGACUCUAAUGAGACUGCCAUCGUAAGAUGUGAGGAAGGUGGGGAUGACGUCAAAUCAGCACGGCCCUUACGUCCGGGGCGACACACGUGUUACAAUGGGUGGUACAAAGGGCAGCUACCUGGCGACAGGAUGCUAAUCUCGAAAACCGCUCUCAGUUCGGAUCGGAGUCUGCAACUCGACUCCGUGAAGCUGGAUUCGCUAGUAAUCGCGCAUCAGCCACGGCGCGGUGAAUACGUUCCCGGGCCUU